AGCACAAGAUGAAAAGAGAUUCUGGUGAAGUCAAGGGCGACGAGGAUUUCAUAUAUGUGUUGUUGUCCCUACUUGAUGAUAAUGCAGAGCAGCUUCCCGAUCGCGAAGCUGACACUGUCAUUAAAGCAAUCUGCUUGGUAUAAUAUAUCCUAAUGAAAAGCUUGUGGUGUGUUUGUGUUUGUAUUGUUAUAUGAAUGUCACAGACUCACAGAUUUCUUACUGCUUUUAAUUUGCAGAAUCUAAUCGUAGCGGGUACAGACACCACAGUAGUUACAUUGACAUGGGCUAUUGCUUUACUUCUCAACAAUCCCGAUGUUCUGAAGAAGGCACAAGACGAAUUAGACAUUCAGGUUGGCACUGAAAGGCAAGUGAAUGAAUCAGACAUGAGGAAUUUGGUUUACUUGCAGGCCAUUAUCAAGGAAACAAUGCGUUUAUACCCUGCUGGACCACUUUUACUACCUCACGAGUCUAUAGAAGAAUGCAUCGUCAAUGGUUACCACGUCCCUGCAGGCACCCAACUGUUUGUUAACGCCUGGAAGAUUCAACGCGAUCCAUGUGUUUGGGAGGAGCCAUGUCAAUUUCAGCCAGAAAGAUUUCUUACUAGGCAUAAGGAUAUUGAUGUUGGGGGACAAGAUUUUGAAUUGAUACCAUUUGGGAGUGGAAGAAGAAUGUGUCCUGCAGUGUCACUAGGCCUUCAAGUUAUGCAACUAACGCUUGCUUCAUUAGUGCAUGGGUUUGAUUUUACAACCCCAUCAGAUGAACCGGUUGACAUGGGAGAGGCAAUGGGCCUAACCAUUGCUAAGGCUACUCCGCUUGAAGUGCUUGUUAGUCCACGCCUUUCUGCUUCUUUAUAUGGUUAAAAUUAGCUUGUGUACUUGUUAAUGCAAAUGAUUAAGUUGUACUUGUCAACAACUUAGUGAUAAGGUGCGUUUAUAUCAUUGGGUGUCAUCACUGUGCGUUUAGCACACUGCAUUAAAGGUGAGUUUGGCAUAUUACACUACAUUGUAUUAUUUAACGUUUAGUAAGUUGUUAUUGACUGUAUUAUAUUAACAUUAUAUAUAUUAUGUUAAUAGUGUAUAAUAUUUGGUAUUGUUUUGUACUUUAUUAAUUUUUAUGUAUCCUAUAUUUUGUGUUGCAUUGCAUUGCAUUAUAUUAAUUAUGUAUCCUAUAUUUUGGUUGCAUUGCAUUGCAUUAUAUUAAUUCUUUUGGUGAAAAUUUUAAAUUACAAGUUGGGAAAAAAUUAAUUAGUACUUAGAAAAAUGAUAAAAUAGAUGUUUUGAAUUUUAUAUUUUUUACAUAAAUUAUUUUUAGUAUAAGUGUAAAACAUAUCAUAAUUCUUUUGAACAUAUGUAAAAUUAAGAAAUUCUAAAAUUUUUGGUGUGUGUGUGUGUAUGAGCAGUUCUCAAAUAUUUAUCUUGUGAAAUAAAGAUCCAAGAAAAUAAUUCAAUCAAAUAACCUUUAAAAAUUAUCAUAACAUAAAUAAAUAGAUAAAGCCAUCUCAUAAUAAAGAUCACAACAACAAAAAUUUACAAAUACCACAACAUACUAGAACCCUAAUCACUUAUGAGAAUGAGGUGAAAUGGGAAUGGGGAACGGGAAUCAUGAUAUAUUGUUUAUUUGAGACAAGAAUCGGAAUCGCAAUGGGUUGAAAUCUCAUUGAUAUGUUUACAUUUUCUCUUGGAAUCAGAAUCAUAAUAAGUUGAAUUGUUUCAAGUUACUAAAGUACCCUUAGUUAAUUAUAAUAAUAACUAUUAUUAUUAUUAUUAUGAUAAUGAUUAUUAUUAUUAAUAAUAAACUUUUGUUAAUAUAUUAAUUAAUUAUAUUCAUAUGUUGUUAGUAUAUUAAUUAAUUAUAAUUUAUCAUUAAUAAUAAUAAUAAUAAUAAUAAUAAUAAUAAUAAUAAUAAUAAUAAUAAUCAAAAUAAAAAAUCAUCAUCAUCAACAAAAUAAUCCAUUUCCAAAAUAAUAAUAAUAAUAAUAAUAAUAAUAAUCAUCAAAUUAAUCCAUUUCCCAAAUAAUCAUUGUCAACAAAAAUAAUCCAUUUCCCAAAAACAAAUUAUAGCAAUAAUCAAAAUCGAAAUUGUCAUCGUCAUCAACAACAACGGCAACAACAAUCAUCGUCGUUAGCAGCAGCAACAUCAUCAGAUCAGAACUGUCGCCAUUAGAGACGAAAUCUGAGAUGAAAUGAGAUGGGGGCGAAAUCGAGACAACGACGAAAUUGACACGGCCCAACGGAUAUGAAAGGGGUGGGUGUUUGGAUCGGGUUGACCCGAUCCAAACCAAACUCGAAAUUAAUUUCGAGUUCGGUUCGGUUCGAGUUGAAACUUACAACUCGUUUGGGUUAAAAAUCUAAACCUGAUCGGGUUGUAUUUCGGUUCGGGUUUAACCCGAACCGAAUAAUCAACCUGAUUGGGUCAAAAAAAUUAAAAAAACAAAGUUUAAAACCCGAAUCGAAAUACAACCCGAUUGUGUCAAAAAAAUUAAAAAAAAAAGUUUAAAAACAUAAAUAUAAACCUAACCCUAACCUAACAACUCCCAAACACACACUUCUCACUUUCUGAGCCGCCACUUGACUUCUCCGCUUCUUCUUCUUCUUUUCCUUUUCUUCCUCCACUGACAAAUAUCAUCUUCUUCUUUUCUUUUUCUUCUUCAUUUCUUCUUCUUCUUUCCUUACACGCUGCCAGACAUCUUCUUCUUCUUCUUCUUUCCUUCGGUUGCUGCCAAGCAUCUUUUUCUUCUUCUUAUUCUUAUUUUCUUCCUCCAUUGCCAAAUAAUUCUUCUGCUUUUUUUUUUAUCUCCAUUAAUUAAUUGUUUAAUAAUUUAUUUUUUAAUUGUUAGUUAAUUUCUUAGUUUUCUUUUGUUAAUUUUUUUUGUUAAAUGUUAAAUUUAGAAUUCUAUACAUUAAUCAGUUAAUUUUUAAAUAAGAUUAUAGGAAAUUUGUGUGAUAUUUAGUUAAUUUUUUCUGUUUUUGGAUGAGAUAAAAUUAUGGUUACAUAAUAUAAACGAACUCGAAUUUAUAACCCAAACCGAACCAAAUCGAAUUAAAUUCGGUUUGGUUUGGUUCGGGUUUGUAGUUUGAACCCGAUUGAGUUAAAUCUUCCAAACCGAAUGGGUUGAAACCCAAACCGAAACCCGAACAAGCUGAACUGAAAUCCGAUUUGCCCACCCCUAUAUGUAUGAAUGGCAAAAGGUCGGGUCGGGCUCGGGCUUGGCCAAGCCUUACCCGACCCGAUCAAAAAAAUUUAAAACCCAACCCUAAAAAAACUCGAAUAUUAUUUAGUUAGGGUCGGGCCCGGCUAGGGAUGGUAAUUUUUCCCGUUGGGAUGGGAUCCUGCGGGAUCCCGUCCCGUUUAGGAUGGGAUUGAGACAUAUUUUUUCAUCCCAAAUUAAAAUGGGAUGGGAUAAGGAUAAAAAUAAAUCCCGCUUUUAUUUAUGGGACGGGAGGAGGACCAAUUAUAAAAUCCCAUCUUAUCCUGUAUAUCCCGUUAAUAUUAUAAUUUAAAAUAAAAAGUGAAAAAGUCACAAAUAAAAUUAAUAAUUUAUAGCAAUAAUUACCCUUAAAAACUCAACCAAUUUCCUAAAUUAACACUGCACCCUAAGUGUUGACCGCCCAACGCCCCUUGCCCUCACCACAAAAAUUUUUACUCCGCCACAAAAGUUCCCAAGCAGCCACCCACGACUUGCCCACUACGCCUCUACUAGCAAUUCAUCCACAAAAUUCUCGCUUUUCAGCCUCCACACCGUAAGUUAACAUUCAUAAUUUGGCUUUUUUUGUUUUUAUUGUUCACAGUUUUGUGCUCUUUUCAUAUAAUUGAUAUUUGUUAAAUAUUAUUAUAUUAUAUACGGCAAUCUAGUUGAAGUUGUUAUAUUAUAAUGAUUAUUAUAUUUGUUUAAGUAGUAUUGAGUUUUAAAAUAAAAGUUCUUGUGGUCCCAUAUUAUUAUUACUUUUGUUUUAUAUGGUUUGAUGUUUGUAAAAGGUUAAUUUAUAUUUAAUUCAUUUAUUUGAGUUGUGGAUUGUUGUUUUCUUUUUGCUUUAAAGGAUGGCUUCUCCUCCAGUAGUGGACAAUGAAAGUUUAGAUAAUGAUGAUGUGCAUGUUGUUGAAGAAAACGCCAAAGACAAUGAUUUAACAUCAAGAUUAAGAUCAGUGGUCUGGAAACAUUUUGAAAGAAGAUAAAAAAUGGAAAAAUAAGAGCCUUUUGUAAGCACUGCAAUAAAGACUAUGUUGGAGGUCCUAGAGAUGGAACAAGACACUUGAACGAUCACAUGAAAAUAUGCCCUCGGCGUAAUCAAAUUGAGAUAACACAUUAUUCAAAGAAGUUAAAAACAGUUGAGGAUGAUCAGGGAAAUGUGAAGGUAGAGACUUAUUCUUUGAUCCUGAUGUCACUAGGGGAUUGAUUGCACGUAUGAUCAUUAUGCAUGAGUACCCAUUAAGUUGCGUUGAGCAUGAAUGGUUUAGAAAAGUGUUGUCUUCUUUAAACCCAAUGUGGAAAAACGUAUCUCGCAAUACUAUAAAAAGUGAUAUUAUGGAGCCAUAUGAGAUGGAAAAGGUUAAGGUUGUGAGUUUAAUAGAGAGUAACAGUAGUAAAGUUGCAAUCACAACCGACAUGUGGACUUGUGGCUCCCAAACAAAAGGGUACAUGGCUAUUACAACACCUUUAUUGAUGAUUCUUGGACCUUACGGAGUCAAAUUUUGAGGUACUAUGUUUAAUUCUAAUUAACAUUGAAAUAUUUAGUGCAUUAUAUUUAUUUAUUGAAUAUAUUUGUAAUUAAUUGUAUUUUUUCUAUGUAGGUUUAUUCAUGUGCAAGCUCGACAUACUUCUCAAGUACUUUGUGAUAUACUAUUGAGAUGUUUAAUGGAUCUUAAUCUUGAGCGUAAGUUAUCUGCAUUAACUGUUGAUAAUUGCACUACUAAUGAUCGAAUGAUUCAACUUCUACUAGAUAAACUUGAUAAAAAUGAUUUUCUUAUGGGUGGCAAGUUGUUUCAUAUGCGAUGUACUGCUCACAUUUUAAAUUUGAUUGUCAAAGAGGGGUUAAGUGUUAUUAGUGAUGGUGUUGCUAAAAUUCGUGCUAGUGUUGCAUUUUGGACAGUUACCCCUCAAAGAAGGGAAAAAAUUAAAGAGAUUUCUCGUAGGUUGAAUAUUCCAUGUAGUAAGGAGUUAGUUCUUGAUUGCAUCACUAGAUGGAACUCUACUUAUCUCAUGAUUUCUGUUGCCUUGGAGUAUAAAAAUGUCUUUUAUAGAUUGCAUCAAUUGGAGGCACAAUAUAGGUGUUUGCCAAGUGAAAGUGAAUGGGAGUUAGCUCGUAUAUUGUCAAAUAAUUUGAAAUCAUUUUAUAAUGUGACUGAGGUAUUUUCUGGAACUAAGUACCCCACAUCCAAUUUGUUUUUCAUUCAUAUUUGUGAGAUUAGAUUAUCAUUAGGUAGUUGGCUUACAUGUGAGCAUGAUGAAGUUAGACAAAUGGCAACUAACAUGAUUGGCAAAUUUGAAAAAUAUUGGAAAGAUGUUAAUGGGGUAUUAACCGUGGCAACAAUGUUGGAUCCUAGAUAUAAAAUGAAAUUGAUUGAGUUCUACUUUCCAUUGUUAUAUGGUGAUGAAUCAAAUAUUCAUAUUGAGAGAGUUCAUAUGCUUUUAAAGGAAUUAAUAAAGAAGUAUGAAUUUAAGGCCAAAUUAUCUGUAAGCGGUCCUAGCGCGGGUGCUUUUAGUUCUAGUAUAGGAGAGUCCUCAGUCGUUAUGUCUCAUGUUGAGGAACAACUUUCAAGUAGGUAUGAUGAUUUUUUGAAAGUCAAUAUGGUUGAGAACCGUAAGACUGAGCUUGAGUCAUAUUUAAGUGAAUAUGUGUUGAUUAUCAAGGACAAAAAUUUUGAUAUUUUGGGGUGGUGGAAAAUAAAUGCAAUACAAUAUCCUUUGUUAUCUACUAUUGCUAGUGAUAUACUAGCAAUCCCAGUGUCAACAGUUGCUUUUGAGUCAGCUUUUAGCACAUGUGGUAGAGUAGUUAGCCCACAUCGUAAUAGACUACACUCACAAACAGUGGAGGCAUUGAUGUGCACUCAAAGUUGGUUGAAUGCUUACACAAGAGGUAAUUUAUUUUAUUGUAAUUUAUGCAUAUUUUAAAUGUUCAAACUUUUUUUAUUUUCUUUUCUAGUUUUUAAUUUUUUUUUUUUUUUGUUUUCUAAGACAAUGGGCAUACAACUUCUAGUGAAAAUCCUACAUUUGCAGAUGAAGAAAAAGUUGAUGCAGAGAUUGAAGAGGUAACUGAUUUUAUUAAUUUUGAACAUUAAUGAUUAAUUAUUAUGUAAUUAUCAAAAUAUUAGUCUUACUCUAACCUCUCUUUAUUAAAUUCCUGUAGGUUUAUACAGAAAUUUGAAAGUGCGGUCUUGAAAGUGUGGUUAGAGUAUGAAGUUUUCUUGUCUAAUGAAGUGGGAACUGGAAUUGAAGUCAACUUUUGGAAGAUUAUGUUAAUUUUUAACUUUUGCUUGAACUUUGGAACUUAGAUUGAUUUGGAUUAGCUUCAGAACUUUGAAUUUUUUGUUUCUUUAUUUGCUAUAUAUUGAUUUAUGACGAUCCUUAAAAGAAAAAAAUUAAAAUUUAUUUAUUUACAUUUGGGACUAUUUAAGAUAAUGGGAUGGGACGGGAUAUUUAAUGGGACAUGAUUGGAAUAAAUUUUUGUCCCAAAAAAAAUAAAGGGACGGGAAUGUGACUUUUUUUAGUCCCAAAUCAAUAUACGGGACAGGACUGGGAUUGACAAAUCCCGUCCCAUCCCAUCCCAUUGCCAACCCUAGGCCCGGCCCAACCCAACCCGAAUCGUUUCAACAUCGGGUCGGGCCCAACCCGACCCUACCGAAAUAGUUAACCCUCCCAUUUCCCACCACCAUUUCAACAAAUUCGGCAAUUUCUCAACCAUUUCAAACACAAUUCAAUUCCACUUUCCACAACCAUUUCAACCCCACACACAAAUCAAUUCCAAAAUCCAACAUGAAAAACACACAAUGUAAUUCCACAACCAUUUUAGCCAUACACAAUUCAAUUUAACAAUCCAACAUAAAAAAUAAAAAAUAAAAAACUCAUGUCUUAUACAAAUAAAAACACACAAUUUAGUUCCACAACCCAACAUUAAAAAAAAUGUAUUAUACAAAUAAAAAAAACUCAUGUCUUAUACAAAUAAAAACUCAUAAUUCAUAAAAACACACAAUUUAGUUUUUUUUUAAUAGGGUCGGGUCAGGUCAGCUUUAAGCCCGACUCUGACCCGAAAUUUGUUCGGGCCUUAAACUUUUGACCAUAACCCGACCCUAACCUCAAAAAUUCGGGUCAAAUCCCUAAAAAUUAGAGCAGGUCGAUCGGCCCAAAAAUAAGGUCGGGCUAAAUUGCCAAGCCUACCUACAUAAAACUGGCAACCAGCAGCUGUCCACAGCCGAUGGACCACGAUGGCAAAGAUGGUGAUGGCCGUGAUGGCGAUGGAAGCACUCCAAUGGCAUUCGAUUGGGAGGCACAGGCAAGAGAGUUUAAGUUUUAGGGAUUUUUUUAUUUUUCGCUUUUUAUAUUUUUUUAAUCUAAAGCGGGGGUAUUUUUGGAAUAAUAAAAAAUUAAUGCGGGUAAAAUGGAAAAUGUUGGGAAUGGGAAUCAGAUUCCUAUACUUAUUCUCAAAUUGCUGUGGGAUCCACCAAAAUGAAUCUCAUUUCGGAUUCUUUCCUAGUCCAUUUUUUUUCUCUCUUAAUCUCUCUCAGUAUUUCAAUUCUAGUUUUAAAAAAAAUUGACUUAAUGGUAAACAAAGUGAAACAAGUCUGCCUAAAUUAUUAACAUUAAAAUUCAAAAAAUUCAAGAGUCAAGACUACUCAUUUUAGAGGCUAGUAGAGAAAAAAGAUUUGAAGAGGAUUCACGUUCAAAAAUAUAAAUGAUACAUCAUACAAGAUCCUUAAACAUUAUAUGAUAUGUCAUUACAUUUAUAAAUGAAGAGUCAUUCAAUUUUCACUAUGGAGUAAAGAUUAUACAAAAUGUUAUCUGCCAUAAAACUAUAAACGACAUAUAUGAAUUUCAGACAAGUAAUUUUACUCCAAGUAAGAAUCAACAACAUUUUACCUAUUUAGUAUCUUAAUUUCUUUUGAAUUCCAACUGAAGUAACAUUUAUUUAUUAAAUGGUAAAUUAAAAAUUUCAUGAGUUAUGAAGUUCAUCAUAAUGAGUCAUAUAAUAUUGAGAGUCAAGUUGAAACUCAAAGAUUAAAACUCCUAAAUUAGCUAACAUAAAAUUUAGAAACUCAUUAAAUAUGUAUAAAUGUUUAUAAUUAACUUAUUUUGCAGCUAAUUUUUCCAACUUAAAAACAUGUUAAUUCCAAAGGUCCCUUAAGAUGAAGAUUCCUAAUUUCACCUUAACCUUGGUAUGACAAUAAGCUUGACUUGAUAACCUUAAAAGGGUAAACUAGAGCCUAUAAAACUUAAUGGAACAAGUGUGAAAUACCUUCUCAAUAUACUGAAAUGAAUUUCCUACCACUACAAAAUUUUAUAAUUCUCAUUGAAAUUAAAAAUCCCAAAAAUUUAACAAUAAUUCUUAAGACUUUGAAAACGAAUGAGCGGGAAACACUGAAACUUCAUACACAAAAUUCAAGUGCUUGUAGGUAUCUAAAAGUAUAAUAGCAGAUUAAGAAUGGAAUAGACUUCAUGGGCGAACUGGAACUCCGGUGGCUGGGCGUGGCGCUUGACCAGGCUGACCAGGCUUUGGCAAAUCAUCCUGAAAGAAAAGGAAAAAAAGAAAAAGAAAACAAAAUAUAAGAGCCAAUGAAGAAAAUUUUCAAGUACGCGAGCACAAACGAAGACCAUAUAAAACUGACAAGCUUAACCAUUUUUCAAAUGCUACAGAAAUCACACAGCAACUAUCCCAAGACCAAAAACAUCCUCAAUUUGGGCUUUUACCACACAGAGACAUAACACUGUCUCCUUUUUUUCCCUUCCCCCCGCCCCCUCCCUCCCUCCCUCUUAGGCUAACCCAGAAGUAAGCUUUUUUAACAGGCUGAAUGAGGAUAUUACUACUGGCAAGGAAAUCCUUGUGAUAAAAUAGACUAGGUAAGUGGUCUAUCUGCCUACAUCUAUAAACCAUAAAUCAUUCUAAAAAUCAAUAUGAACAGAGAGCAUUAGCCAAAACCCUGAUUAAAAAAUCUCAAUAGAAACAUGAAAAAGAUACCCUGCGUCUCAUAAAACGCUUUGGUGGUUCACGGUUCCUGCGGUCAGUGCGCGAGCGAACCCUCACCACAUGCGAGUGAAUUGCACAGGAGACACAGUACUGCAUCUUUGCAUACAACUUAGGCAGAACAUAGUCUGCAUCAAAUAUAAAAGAUUCCCAUUAUUUCCCAUUCAAACAAUACAUAAUUAAUUACAAAAUAAGAGAAAUAAUAACAUGUGUAGUAGAUAUUUACUAUCAUAGAUGCAGGCAUCCUGCACGUCUCUGACAGCAGCUUGCUCAACAAUGUUCCUCACAAGGAACCUCUUGAUGGCCUUGUCCUUUUCAUCCAUUCACAACCCAAAAUUUAAAAAAAAAAAAAAAAAUUGUGUCAAACUACAACAAACAAAAGGCAUAUAAAUUAAUUUUUAAAUGCAAACUUAACAUCAUUAAUUUUUAGUAACUUGGAAGUGAGAAGACGGAAUAAUUAAAUAAUAUUUGUGUUAUAAGAUAUGAUAAAAAUCAGAUGUCUAAUUGUAACUGGUAUUCCUAACCAUCGUGGUAGCGGGGAUGCGCGGAUACCAAUAAACAACUCUAGUCUAGUCUAACUGUAUGAUUUGACCAAUACAUCCGCAAAAUUUAUCAUGACACGAUUUUACAAAAAUAUGGAAGAACUGAAAAAAUGAAUCUUCUUUCCCGUAAUGCCACACAAUUGCCUCAUUUGGCAGGGAAAAAUUCUCAAUGUUGUUCAUUUUUAUCAAAAUAAACAAAAAAAAAAAGGGAAUCAUAUAAUACUAAUAAUAAAAAAACAGAUACAAUUUUAAUUAAUGAAAGCGAUACAAAAAUAAAAACAAAAGUGUAUACUUUGGGGCAGCAUUUGCCGUUCCGACGCUUGAAGGUCUGCCACAGAAAAAAAUAAAUAUAAUAAAUCAAAUUUAUAUUAAACAAAAAAAAAUUCUUCUUUUUUCAAUAAUAAUAUUUUUGGAAAUCAGAAAGAUAAAACAUUUUCGCAAACCAUUCUGUUUUCUUCAAGGGAUGAUCUCCCCUUUCCAAUUUUUGACAACCACGCCUAACCCAAUCAUCAUUUCUUCUGAAGUUGACAUUGCUGCAAGAGUAAAAAAGAAUGUUGAAAUUGAAUUAUUAAUUUGGAAGAAUAUCAUGACGCAAUUAAACAAAAACUGAAUAUUUUAUCUUUCCUACUCUCUCAAUAAUUUUGACUGCAUACUUUUUCUGAAAAAAAAAACAAAAAAAACUCAUAUCUAGAUUCAGUCACAAAGCCAAAUCUCUCUAAUCAUACGUCUAUAUUAAAAAACACAAAUAAGAGAUUCCAAGAACUUGUUAACACCCUUUUGGAAUAAUUGAUUCUAAGGGUGAAAAAAAAAAUUGGUAUUUAAUAGAAUUUUCGUAAUGACAAAAAGUAAAUGGACCCAAGUGAUAAAACAAUAUAAUUGAUGGACAAAAGAUCAUUUUUCAUUUGUGUUGCCGACACCGUAGUUUGGUUUACGCUUCCCGACCCAUGAUAUUCAAGUCCAGUUACCUUUGUCAUCCCAUAAAAUUGUCCAUAAUUAAAAUAAGGCAUGUUUUAUAUUCUGUGGCUAAUAUUUAGAGCAAAUGAAUUUUCCAAGUCCUCCCAUAAAAAUAUCAUAUCCCAACAUAAUCUUCAACCAUUUUAAUGGUUAAAAUUACAAGAGAAGUCGUAUCUAUGUUUUAUCACAAUUGUUUGGCAACCACCAAAUUGGCCGUAUAAAGCCAUUGAUGAAUCAGAAAAAGAUACCAUUGUCGAAAACUUGGCCAUUGUGGUCCCUGAUGUAUAAAACUGACCAUAGGAUUAGCAAAGGUUUGUCAAUGAGCAGAACUUACGUUCACGUCAAGCACACUUAAAUGUUAUCUAUAUACUGUAUAGACAUUGCUCUGAACUAAACUCUUGAUUCAGAGUCCCCGAGUCGGCUGCAAAGGAAUGGCCAUGAAUAAUCUUUCAACAGAAUCGACUGCUGCUGUAGCAAUUUCAGCCUUAGUGAUAUUCCUCUCAAUUUUCCUCUUGAUUUCAAGAAAUGGGCAAAAAAGGACACUCAAGAAUAAGCAAGCUCAACAAGCACCGGUAGCAGGGGGAGCAUGGCCUUUGAUAGGCCACCUACAUCUCUUACGAGGGCCAGAGCCAGCUCACAGAGUUUUGGGCAACCUGGCUGACAAAUAUGGAACAAUAUUCACUAUGAAGUUGGGGGUGAAACAUGCUUUAGUGGUGAGCAACUGGGAAAUUGCUAAGGAGUGUUUUACCACAAAUGACAAAGCUUUUGCAAGUCGCCCCAAAACAAUGGCCGUAGAGCUUAUGGGGUACAACUUUUUGGUCAUAGGCUUCGCACCAUAUGGCAAGUACUGGCGUCAGUCACGUAAGAUAGUGACAAUUGAGCUUCUGUCAAAUUGUCGCCUUGAGAAUCUGAAGUGAAGGCUUCAAUCCAGAGGUUAUACAAGAAUUGCAUAAGUAGCAGCAGUUCACGUAAAGUAGUUUCCGUGGAGAUGAUCCAUUGGCUCGAGGGCACAGUACUUGACAUUAUUUUGAGAAUAAUUGCCGGAAAACGUCACACUUCACAAUCAGAAGAGGCUAAUGAUUGGCAACGGCAAAUAACAAAGAUCGCUGCCUUGUCUGGUCAGUUCGUGGUGUCCGAUGCGUUGCCCUUUCUGAGACGGUUAGAAAUCGGUGGAUAUGAGAGAUUAAUGAGCAUGACAGCUAAAUAUUGCGACAUCAUUUUGCAAGAAUGGGUGGAUGAGCACAAGAUGAAAAGAGUUUCUGGUGAAGUUAAGGGCGACGAGGAUUUCAUAUAUGUGUUGUUGUCCCUACUUGAUGAUAAUGCAGAGCAGCUUCCGGAUUGCGAAGCUGACACUGUCAUUAAAGCAAUCUGCUUGGUAUAAUAUAUCCUUAUGAAAUGCUUGUGGUGUGUUUGUGUUUGCAUUGUAACAUGAAUGUCACAGAUUUCUUAUUGCUUUUAAUUUGCAGACUCUAAUCGUAGCGGCUGCAGAGACCACAGUAGUUACAUUGACAUGGGCUAUUGCUUUACUUCUCAACAAUCCCGAGGUUCUGAAGAAGGCACAAGAUGAAUUAGACAUUCAGGUUGGUACUGAAAGGCCAGUGAAUGAAUCAGACACGAUAAAUUUGGUUUACUUGCAGGCCAUUAUCAAGGAAACGAUGCGUUUAUACCCUGCUGCACCACUAUUAGUACCUCACGAGUCUAUAGAAGAAUGCGUCGUCAAUGGUUACCAUGUCCCCGCAGGCACCCAACUGUUUGUUAACGCUUGGAAGAUUCAACGCGACCCAAGUGUAUGGGAGGAGCCAUGUCAGUUUCAGCCAGAAAGAUUUCUUACGAGGUAUAAGGAUAUUGAUGUCAGGGGGCAAAAUUUUGAAUUGAUACCAUUUGGCAGUGGAAGACGAAUGUGUCCUGCAGUGUCAUCAGGCCUCCAAGUUGUGCAACUAACGCUUGCUUCAUUAGUGCAUGCGUUUGAUUUUACAACCCCAUCAGAUGAACCGGUUGACAUGGGAGAGGCAAUGGGCCUAACCAUUGCUAAAGCUACACCACUUGAAGUGAUUCUUACUCCACGCCUUUCUGCUUGUUUAUAUGGUUAAAAUUAGCUUGUGUACUUGUUAAGGCAAAAAUAAGUUGUACUUUUGAACGACUUAGUGAUAAGGUGCGUUUAUAUCAAUGGGUGUCAUCACCGUGCGUUUAUCACGUUGCAUUAUAUUAAAGGUGAGUUUGACAUAUCAUAUUACAUUGUAUUAUUUUACGUUUAGUAAGUUGUUUUUUAUUGUAUUAUGUUAACAUUAUAUUAUAUUAAUAUUGUAUAAUAUUUGAUACUAUAUUGGACUAUAUUAAUUUUUAUUUAUCUUAUGUUUGGUGUUGCAUUGCAUUGCAUUACAUUAUAUUAAUUAUUUUGGUGAAAAAUUUAGAUUAAAAGUUGGGAAAAAAUAUUAAUUAGCACUUAGAAAAAAUGAUAAAAUAGAUAUUGUAAAUUUUAUAAUUUUUUACAUCAAUUAUAUUUUAGUAUAAAUGUAAAAGAUAUCACAAUUCUUUUGAACAUAUGUAAAAUUAAAAAAUUCUAGCCGUUCUCAAAUAUAUAUCUUGUGAAAUAAAGAUCAAAGAAAAUAAUUCAAUCAAAUAAUCUCUAAAAAUUAUCAUAACAUAAAUAAAUAGAUAAAAGCCAUCUCAUGAUAAAGAUGACAACAAAAGCAUUUGCAUAUACCACAACAAACUAGAACCCUAAUCACUAAAUAAAAUGGAUAGAACAAUGCACCAAACUGAGUUCAAUUUAUAGCUGGAGGACGUUCUAAUUCUGUUGGUUCUUCCAGGGCUCUGGCUCACUGGUGGUGCCAUAAGCCCCUAUGGACGGGCCCUCUUCAUGAUGUUACACACAUCACAGAAAUUAAAUUCAGCUGAGAAGUGGGAUGGGUUGGUAAUGGCACAUGAACUGAUCUGGGAAAAAUUUUAUCACGGAUGAUAGAUGAAAGUGACCCCAGAUUGCCAUUUGGAUACAUCAAACUGGAUGAGGUCCUUGACUUAAGUUAAUUUCUUCGGUUUGUUAAAUGACAAUCCUAUUCUUCUGUCAUUUAUUCUGCAUUGUUGUGUUGAAAUUCCAUGUAGUUGGUGAUUUUUCUAACUUCAUUAGAUGGCAAGCAGUGCAAGGAUGAAUUCUCCUUCCCUAGAGACCAUGAUGAGCGCCAUGCAAAAGGUAUUCUUGCAGUAGACUCUUUAAAGUGUUUAUUACAUACCAAGCCUUUGUGUCAUAUGAAGGAUUGACAUCUUGGGAAAGCUGUAAAAAAAGGCAGCUAUUCUUCCCUCAACUGGGUAUAAAGAAAGGAUGUCCACAGCUCCAUUCUGCAUUUCCUUGUAUGACCAUGCCUAGUGACUAUUGCAGGAGGGAUGCGUAGCAAGUAGGUCACACAUUGCUUCCAAUGCAAUCAAGACAAAUUGUCCCAUGGUAGUAUGCAUCAGGAUCGCCAAGGAACUUCAGGGCUGCCAGAAAACAUAGGCUAAGUGAUGUUGGUAUGGACAAGACUGGUAGCAGAAGCCAUGCCUAGCUUUUCCGGAAGCAAUCAGAAUUUAGCGAUGUAACUGCGUCUCCGUAGACAGGAGUUGAUUGCCCAUAUGCACCCAAGGGAUUUUUUUUUUUUUUGGCCAACUGCAAGAUUUUGAACGAACGGAACGAAGGCCGCAAUGAAUUAUGAAAAGGGUGGAUUAAAAUGAUUUUAAUUAUAUUGACUUGGAAGAAACCGAUUCCUGAGUUUCAGUAAAAAAUUAUGAAUUGAUUUUAAUAUAGUUUCAUACAUGGUAUACUUUGACGCAAUUAUCACCGAUUAACUAAUAUAACAUAAUUAAAUUUAAAUUCAUUUUGUUUAAAUAAAUCAAUACACAUCAUAGCUGAAAAUAUAGACUUAGGAUUCUUUCCUAGUCUUUUUUUUUUCCCUCUCGUAGUCUCUCUCAAUAUUCCAAUUCUAGUUAAAAAAAAAAUGACUUAAUUGUAAACAAAGUGAAACAAGUCUGCCUAAAUUAUUAACAUUAAAAUUCAAGAGUUGGUCUAUGGCUGGUGGGCUUCCUAUUCUCAGUAAAAUCUCGGCUUGCAGCUUAGAUUUAGUUCGGUGGGGCUAUCAUCGUGCUCGGGAUUUCAAAGCUCAAAUUAAGAAGUGCAAGGAUAAAAUGCAUCAGCUUCGGGGCAAGCGUGAUGAAGUCAGCUUGACUGACUUUAUUGAAGCUCGAGAUAGGUACAAUGAGCUCUUGCAUAGCCACGAAGUUUAUUGGAAGCACCGUUCGAAGACGUUUUGGCUUCGGGAUGGGGAUUCAAACUCAAAGUUUUUCCAUGCCAUGGCCUCAACUAGGAAGUGUACGAAUACCUUAAUCAAGCUUCGCAAUCAAGAGGGGCAAUGGUGUACUAAUCCUGAGGAUGUAAAUAAUUUAAUUUGUGAGUAUUUCACAACUUUAUUUACUGCUGGGAUUUGUUCUUAUGGUGAUGUGCUUAAUUGUGUGGAAUCUAAAAUUACUGAUGCACAAAAUCAAUCUCUUUUGGAACCUUUUGCUGCUGAAGAUGUUCAAUCUGCCGUGUUUGAUAUGCAACCUGAUAAGUCCCCUGGUCCUGAUGGAAUGAACCCAGCAUUUUACCAAAAGUUUUGGAAUGUUGUGGGUACUGAUAUUACUGAGGCGUGUUUUAGGUUCAUUCGGGAUUGUUCUUUCCCUGAUGGGCUUAAUGAGACUUCUAUUGUCCUUAUUCCUAAGAAGAAACAAAUAGAGUUCUUAACUGAUGUUCGACCAAUUUCCUUAUGCAAUGUCCUCUAUAAAAUUGUAGCCAAGAUGCUUGCUAACCGUAUGAAGAUGGUUUUAGGAUCGAUAAUUUCCGAUUCUCAGAGUGCUUUUGUUCCAGGCAGAGCUAUUGCGGAUAAUGUAUUAAUCUCGGCUGAGAUAAUGCACUUUCUUAAACGGAAACGUUAAGGAAAGGAAAGGAGGGGAUUGCUGCUUUAAAGAUCGACAUGUCCAAGGCUUAUGAUUGGAUUGAGUGGGGGUUUCUUAGAUCGAUUUUACUGAAGUUGGGCUUUGAUGUUGGUUGGGUGAAUCUUAUUAUGCUAUGUGUCACUACAGUUACCUAUAAGAUUACCCUGGAAGAGUUGGAGCUGGGCCCUAUCGUGCCAAGUCGAGGUCUUAGACAAGGAGAUCCGCUAUCGCCAUAUCUGUUUAUCAUCUGUGCAGAGGGGCUGAGUUUGCUGAUAAAUCACUAUAAGAGGGCUGGGAUGAUCCAUGGGGCUCGAGUUGCUAGAGGUGCUCCUUUGGUUUCUCACCUCUUUUUUGCUGAUGACUGUUUUCUUUUCUUUAAAGCUACUGUUCAUGAGGCUCACCUGGUAAAAAAGAUUUUGGCAACUUAUGAAGCAGCUUCGGGGCAGCAAGUGAACUACAAUAAAUCCUCAGUUUCUUUCAGUAGGAAUAUGGUCGAGGAUACUAUUCAUAAUAUCUGUCAACAGCUUGGAGUUGUAGCUACUACAGACCAUGGUACCUAUCUUGGAUUACCAUCAUAUGUUGGGCACAAGAAAAUAGACAUUUUCAGAUACAUAAAGGAUAAAGUUUGGCAAAGAAUUCAAGGGUGGCAUCAGAAACUCCUCUCUAGAGCUGGAAAGGAAAUCUUAAUUAAAAUUGUGGCACAAGCCAUACUUAAUUAUGCUAUGCAAGUUUACCUCCUCCCUCUCGACCUUUGCCGGGAUCUUGGAAGGAUGAUGAAUUCUUUUUGGUGGGGUAGUAAAAGAUACGAUAGUGGUGGAAUUAAGUGGAUGCAGUGGGGCAGACUUUGUAAGCCCAAAUCUUAUGGUGGUAUUGGAUUUAAACACAUUCAUAAAUUUAAUGUUGCUAUACUAGGGAGACAAGGCUGGAGGUUAAUUACAAAUCCAUCUUCGCUGGUGGGCAGAUUGUUUAAAGCAUGGUAUUAUCCUAAUGCAGAUUUCACUCAAGCAAAGUUGGGAAGUAAUCCGAGUUAUGCAUGGCAAUCGAUUUUGGCUGCUCAGAAGAUUUUAAUCCAAGGGAGUCGUGUCCAAGUUGGGAAUGGGCAGAGCAUUACUAUUGGCUCGGUUCCCUGGUUGCCUGAUCAGGAGAGUGGCUUUAUUACAACUAAUCUUCCAGCGAUGUUAGCAUCAGCUCCUGUGAGUAGUCUUAUGAUUCCUAAUCACCGAAUGUGGGAUUAUGACCUUGUAAAGGAUGUGUUCAACAGAAGAGAUCAAGACUGCAUUCUCCAAAUUCCUCUUAGCUCUCGGAGUAAUUGUGAUACUUGGUAUUGGCUCCCCGACGCAAAAGGAAUUUACACUGUUCGGAGCUGUUAUAAGUGGAUGGAUAUUAUAUCGGAACCGCCUGGCAGUGGAGUUUGGAGUAAGAUUUGGAAGCUGGCUGUGCCCGCCAAAAUCAAGAAUUUUCUUUGGAGAGCUGUGGCAAAUGUGGUUCCCACUGCUGAUAACCUUCUUAGUCGUCGAGUCGAGGUACACCCUUAUUGUACUAUCUGUAAUGCAUCUCUUGAGACAACUUAUCAUGUCUUAGUUGAUUGUCCUUUUGCCAAACAAUGCUGGAUGGUUUCCUUGGUUGGCUUUGCUAGAAAUUUUGUUAAUUUUGGAGCUUGGUUGGAUGCUCUAUUUAUUCGGUGUAGUAUUGAGGAUAGUUGUCUUGCUGCAAUGGUUUGUUGGGGUCUUUGGCAGAAUCAGAAUAAUAAAGUUUGGAACCAUGUAGUAGGCAAAGUGUCUCAAGUGCUCAAUAAAGCUGGUCAAGAUGUUCCAAUGGCAAAAGGCUCGUCAACUGAGUCACUUUACUCAGAUGCCAGCAGAUUUAACUCUUGGCUCUGUUUGCUGGAAACGCCCUCGCUUUGGAUGGUUUAAAUGCAAUGUGGGCGCUGCCACUUCCCGAGCUACUGCUAGGAUAAGCUACGGCGCAGUUAUUCGGUCUUCUGAGGGUAACUUUCUUGCUGCAAAAUGUGGUUCUUUGAUUGGAAUUUUUGAAGCUCGCGAGGCAGAGGCUUUGGGUGUGCGAGAGGUCUUGAGUUAGCUUAAGAACACCCAGUUUUUUCCUAUUAUUAUUGAGACUGAUUGUUUAUAAGUUUUUAAUGCUUUGAUUGACUCCAAGGACUAUCAGAACGGCUUUGGUCUUAUUAUUUCGGAUUGUAGAGCCUUGGCUCAUUGCUUAAAAUAGAUGACUUUCUCUUUUGUAAGGAGAUCUGCGAAUACUGCUGCCCAUAUUGUGGCUAAGGUGGAGUGUUCUUUGUCAGGUCCGAGUGAAUGGAGACAUGUUCCACCACCCUGGUUAUUUUCUCAUUUGUCUAUUUAAUGAAUUUCUUCUUUCUUCAAAAAAAAAAAGAGUCAAGACUAAUCAUUUUAGAGGCUAUUAGAGAAAAAAGAUUUGAAGAGGAGUCAUGUUAAAAAAUAUAAAUAAUACAUCAUACAAGAUCCUUAAACAUUAUUUGAUAUGUCAUUACAUUUAUAAAUGGCAAGUCAUUCAAUUUUCACUCUAGAGUAAAGAUUAUACAAAAUGUUAUCUGCCAUAAAACUAUAAACGACAUAUACCGUAUCUGAUGAAUUUCAGACAAGUAAUUUAACUCCAAGUAAGAAUCAACAACAUUUUACCUAUUUAGUAUCUUAAUUUCUUUUGAAUUCCAAUUGAUGUGACAUUUAUUUAUUAGAUGGUAAAUUAAAAAUUUCGUAAGUUAUGAAGUUCAUCAUAAUGAGUGUCAUAUAAUAUUAAGAGUCAUGUUGAAACUCAAAUAUUAAAACCCCUAACUUAGCUAAGUAACAUAAAAUUUAGAAACUCAUUAAAUAUGCAUAAAUGUUUAUAAUUAACUUAUUUUGCAGCUAAUUUUUCCAACUUGAAAACAUGUUAAUUCCAAAGGUCCCUUGAGAUGAAGAUUCCUAAUUUCACCUUAACCUUGGUGUGACAGUAAGCUUGACUUGAUAUCCUUAAAUGGUUAAACAACUAGAGCCUAUCAAAAUUAAUAGAACAAGUGUGAAAUACCUUCUCAAUAUACUGAAAUGAAUUCCUACCACUACAAAAUUUUAUAAUUCUCAUUGAAAUUAAAAAUCCCAAAAAUUUAACAAUAAUUCUUAAGACUUUGAAAACGAAUGAGCGGGAAACACUGAAACUUCAUACACAAAAUUCAAGUGCUUGUAGGUAUCUAAAAGUAUAAUAGCAGAUUAAGAAUGGGAUAGACUUCAUGGGCGAACUGGAACUCCAAUGGCUGGGCGUGGCGCUUGACCAGGCUGACCAGGCUUUGGCAAAUCAUCCUGAAAAGAAAAAGGGCAAAAAAAAAAAGAAAAAAUAUAUAUAAGAGCCAAUGAAGAAAAUUUUCAAGUACGCGAGCACAAACGAAUACCAUAUAAAACUGACAAGCUUAACCAUUUUUCAAAUGCUACAGAUAUCACACAGCAAUUAUCCCAAGACCAAAAACACAUCCUCAAUUUGGGCUUUUAGUUCUUGUAAAACAAAGGAAAAAGCUACCACACACAGACACAACACUGUCUCCUUUUUUUCCUCUUUCCUCCCGCACCACCCCUCCCCCCUUUCUCUUAGGUUAACUCAGAAUUAUGCAUUUUUAACAGGCUGAAUCAGGAUAUUACUACUAGCAAGGAAAUACUUAUGAUAAAGCACACUAGGUAAAAGGUCUAUCUGCCUACGUCUAUAACCCGUAAAUCACUCUAAAAAUCAAUAUGAACAGAGACCAUUAGCCAAAACCCAGAUUAAAAAAUCUCAAUAGAAACAUGAAAAAGAUACCCUGCAUCUCAUAAAACGCUUUGGUGGUUCACGGUUCCUGCGGUCAGUGCGUGAGUGAACCCUCACCACAUGCGAGUGAAUUGCACCAGAGACACACUACUGCAUCUUUGCAUACAACUUAGGCAGAACAUAGUCUGGAUCAAAUACAAAAGAUUCUCAUUAUUUCCCAUUCAAACAAUACAUAAUUAAUUACAAAAUAAGAGAAAUAAUAACAUGUGUGGCAGAUAUUUACUGUCAUAGAUGCAGGCAUCCUGCACGUCUCUAACAGCAGCUUGCUCAACAAUGUUCCUCACAAGGAAUCUCUUAAUGGCCUUGUCCUUUUCAUCCAUUCACAACCCAAAAUAAAAAAAAAAAAAUGUGUCAAAUUACAACAAACAAAAGGCAUAUUAAUUAAUUUUUAAAUGCAAACUUAACAUCAUUACAACAACUCUAGUCUAAUCUAACUGUAUGAUUUGACCAAUACAUCCGCAAAAUUUAUCAUGACACAAGUUUACAAAAAUAUGGAAGAAUUGAAAAAAUGAUUCUUCUUUCCCGUAAUGCCACACAAUUGCCUCAUUUGGGAGGGAAAAAUUCUCAAUGUCGUUCAUUUUUAUCAAAAAAAAAAAAAAAAACAGGGAAACAUAUAAUACUAAUAAUAAAAAAACAGAUACAAUUUUAAUUAAUGAAAGCGAUACAAAAAUAAAAACAAAAGUGUAUAUUUUGGGGCAGCAUUUGCCGUUCCGACGCUCGAAGGUCUGCCACAGAAAAAAAUAAAUAUAAUAAAUCAAAUUUAUAUUAAAUAAAAACAAUUCUUCUUUUUUCAAUAAUAAUAUUUUUGGAAAUCAGAAAGAUAAAACAUUUUCGCAAACCAUUCUGUUUUCUUCAAGGGAUGAUCUCCCCUUUCCAAUUUUUGACAACCACGCCUAACCCAAUCAUCAUUUCUUCUGAAGUUGACAUUGCUGCAUGAGUAAAAAGGAAUAUUGAAAUUGAAUUAAUAAUUUGGAAGAAUAUCAUAACGCAAUUAAACAAAAACUGAAUAUUUUAUCUUUCCUACUCUCUCAAUAAUUUUGACUGCAUACUUUUUCUGAAAAAAAAAAAAAAAAACUCAUAUCUAGAUUCAGUCACAAAGCCAAAUCUCUCUAAUCAUACGUCUAUAUUAAGAAACACAAAUAAGAGAUUCCAAGAACUUGGUAACACCCUUUUGGAAUAAUUGAUUCUGGAUUUUCAUACUUGGAUAAUGGCUUUUGCUUGGAUACCUCUCCAAUCACUCCAACCCUUUCACACAAUUGAUUGAAUUUCACUUGCUUGAUUUAUAUUACAUCGAGAUUUUGAGCCCGGCAUGGUUAAGGAGUUUUAAAAGUGUAAAAAAUUGGGUGAUUGAAAAAUGAUAGAGCUGAAAAUGAGGGAAAAUUUAGAAUUAUGGGAAUUUUAUUGGGGAAGAAAAAGUAUUUUAAACUCAAUGAUGGGGUGAUUAAGAAAUAGACUGAAUAAAAAAUAAAAAGAAUUUGAAUACCAUCACUCAAAUUUAAUUGUUUAUUAUUAAAAACAUUAACCGAUGAUUUCUAUUUAUAGAAAUAAUAUUUAAGUCCCACAAAUUUUUUUAUUUUUAACUAUUUGUAUCUUUUUCUAAAACUUAUUAUACUCAUAAGAUAUCAAUAAUUAAUGUUCAAAAUGACUUUUUCUAAAUAUUAAAACAAUUAUUAUUAUUAUUAUUAUUAUUAUUAUUAUUAUUUGUUGUAAUAUAGUGGUAGGGACAAAAAUCUAAGGGUGAAAAAAAAAUUGGUAUUUAAUAGAAUUUUCUGUGGCUAUGAUGACCCCAGCAUUAUCUCCAACAUUAUCUCCAACCAUUUUAAAGGUUGAAAUUACAAGAGAAGUCGUAUCGUAUCAAUGUACUAUGUUUAUCACAAUUGUUUAGCAACCACCAAAUUGGCCGUAUAAAGUCGUUGAUGAAUCAGAAAAAGAUACCAUUGUCGAAAACUUGGCCAUUGUGGUCCCUGAUGUAUAAAACUGACCAUAGGAUUAGCAAAGGUUUGUCAAUGAGCAGAACUUACGUUCACGUCAAGCACACUUAAAUGUUAUCUAUAUACUGUAUAGACAUUGCUCUGAACUAAACUCUUGAUUCAGAGUCCCCGAGUCGGCUGCAAAGGAAUGGCCAUGAAUAAUCUUUCAACAGAAUCGACUGCUGCUGUAGCAAUUUCAGCCUUAGUGAUAUUCCUCUCAAUUUUCCUCUUGAUUUCAAGAAAUGGGCGAAAAAGGACACUCAAGAAUAAGCAACGAGCACCAGUUGCAGGGGGAGCAUGGCCUUUGAUAGGCCACCUACAUCUCUUACAAGGGCCAGAGCCAGCUCACAGAGUUUUGGGGCGACCUGCAAAAGCUUUGUCAUUUGUGGUAAAACACUCCUUAGCAAUUUUCCAGUUGCUCACCACUAAAGCUUGUAUCACCCCCAAUUUCAUAGUGAAUAUUUGGGCAACCUGGCUGACAAAUAUGGAACAAUAUUCACUAUGAAGUUGGGGGUGAAACAAACUUUAGUGGUGAGUAACUGGAAAAUUGCUAAGGAGUGUUUUACCACAAAUGACAAAGCUUUUGCAGGUCGCCCCAAAACAAUGGCCGUAGAGCUUAUGGGGUACAACUUUUCGGUCAUAGGCUUCGCGCCAUAUGGCAAGUACUGGCGUCAGUCACGUAAGAUAGUGACAAUUGAGCUUCUGUCAAAUCGUCGCCUUGAGAAGCUCAAACACGUACGUGAAUCUGAAGUGAAGGCUUCAAUCCAGAGGUUAUACAAGAAUUGCAUAAGUAGCAGCAGUUCACGUAAAGUAGUUUCGGUGGAGAUGAUCCAUUGGCUCGAGGGCACAGUACUUGACAUUAUUUUGAGAAUAAUUGCCGGAAAACGUCACACUUCACAAUCAGAAGAGGCUAAUGAUUGGCAACAGCAAAUAACAAAGAUCGCUACCUUUUUUGGUCAGUUCGUGGUGUCCGAUGCGUUGCCAUUUCUGAGACGGUUAGAUAUCGGUGGAUAUGAGAGAUUAAUGAGCAUGACAGCUAAAUAUUGCGACAUCAUUUUGCAAGAAUGGGUGGAUGAGCACAAGAUGAAAAGAGUUUCUGGUGAAGUCAAGGGCGACGAGGAUUUCAUAUAUGUGUUGUUGUCCUUGCUUGAUGAUAAUGCAGAGCAGCUUCCUGAUCGCGAUGCUGACACUGUCAUUAAAGCAAUCUGCUUGGUAUAAUAUAACCUCGUGAAAAGCUUGUGGUGUGUUUGUGUUGUAUUGUUAUACGAAUGUCACAGAUUUCUUACUGCUUUUAAUUUGCAGACUCUAAUCGUAGGGGCUGCAGAGACCACAGUAGUUACAUUGACAUGAGCUAUUGCUUUACUUCUCAACAAUCCCGAGGUUCUGAAGAAGGCACAAGAUGAAUUAGACAUUCAGGUUGGUACUGAAAGGCCAGUGAAUGAAUCAGACACGAGAAAUUUGGUUUACUUGCAGGCCAUUAUCAAGGAAACGAUGCGUUUAUACCCUGCUGCACCACUAUUAGUACCUCACGAGUCUAUAGAAGAAUCCGUCGUCAAUGGUUACCACGUCCCUGCAGGCACCCAACUGUUUGUUAACGCCUGGAAGAUUCAACGCGAUCCAUGUGUUUGGGAGGAGCCAUGUCAAUUUCAGCCAGAAAGAUUUCUUACUAGGCAUAAGGAUAUUGAUGUUGGGGGACAAGAUUUUGAAUUGAUACCAUUUGGGAGUGGAAGAAGAAUGUGUCCUGCAGUGUCAUUUGGCCUCCAAGUUAUGCAGCUAAUGCUUGCUUCAAUAGUGCAUGGGUUUGAUUUUACAACCCCAUCAGAUGAACCGGUUGACAUGGGAGAGGCAAUGGGCCUGACCAUUGCUAAGGCUACUCCACUUGAAGUGCUUGUUAGUCCGCGCCUUUAUGCUUCUUUAUAUGGUUAAAAUUAGCUUGUGUAGUUGUUAAUGCAAAUAAUUAAGUUGUUCUUUUCAACAACUUAGUGAUAAGAUGCGUUUAUAUCAUUGGGUGUCAUCACUGUGCGUUUAGCACACUGCAUUACGUUAAAGGUGAGUUUGGCAUAUUAUACUACAUUGUAUUAUUUAACAUUUAGUAAGUUGCUUUUGACUGUAUUAUAUUAACAUUAUUUAUAUUAUGAUAAAGCACACUAGGUAAAAGGUCUAUCUGCCUACGUCUAUGACCCGUAAAUCACUCUAAAAAUCAAUAUGAACAGAGACCAUUAGCCAAACCCAGAUUAAAAAAUCUCAAUAGAAACAUGAAAAAUAUACGCUGCAUCUCAUAAAACGCUUUGGUGGUUCACGGUUCCUGCGGUCAGUGCGUGAGCGAACCCUCACCACAUGCGAGUGAAUUGCACAGGAGACACAGUACUGCAUCUUUGCAUACAACUUAGUCAGACAUAGUCUGGAUCAAAUACAAAAGAUUCCCAUUAUUUCCCAUUCAAACAAUACAUAAUUAAUUACAAAAUAAGAGAAAUAAUAACAUGUGUAGUAGAUAUUUACUAUCAUAGAUGCAGGCAUCCUGCACGUCUCUGACAGCAGCUUGCUCAACAAUGUUCCUCACAAGGAACCUCUUGAUGGCCUUGUCCUUUUCAUCCAUUCACAACCCAAAAUUUAAAAAAAAAAAAAAAAAUUGUGUCAAACUACAACAAACAAAAGGCAUAUAAAUUAAUUUUUAAAUGCAAACUUAACAUCAUUAAUUUUUAGUAACUUGGAAGUGAGAAGACGGAAUAAUUAAAUAAUAUUUGUGUUAUAAGAUAUGAUAAAAAUCAGAUGUCUAAUUGUAACUGGUAUUCCUAACCAUCGUGGUAGCGGGGAUGCGCGGAUACCAAUAAACAACUCUAGUCUAGUCUAACUGUAUGAUUUGACCAAUACAUCCGCAAAAUUUAUCAUGACACGAUUUUACAAAAAUAUGGAAGAACUGAAAAAAUGAAUCUUCUUUCCCGUAAUGCCACGCAAUUGCCUCAUUUGGGAGGGAAAAUUUCUCAAUGUUGUUCAUUUUUAUCAAAAUAAACAAAAAAAAGGGAAUCAUAUAAUACUAAUAAUAAAAAAACAGAUACAAUUUUAAUUAAUGAAAGCGAUACAAAAAUAAAAACAAAAGUGUAUACUUUGGGGCAGCAUUUGCCGUUCCGACGCUUGAAGGUCUGCCACAGAAAAAAAUAAAUAUAAUAAAUCAAAUUUAUAUUAAAUAAAAACAAUUCUUCUUUUUUCGAUAAUAAUAUUUUUGGAAAUCAGAAAGAUAAAACAUUUUCGCAAACCAUUCUGUUUUCACACAAAGCUAAUCAGAAAGAUAAAAUAUUUUUGACAACCACGCCUAACCCAAUCAUCAUUUCUUCUGAAGUUGACAUUGCUGCAUGAGUAAAAAAGAAUAUUGAAAUUGAAUUAUUAAUUUGGAAGAAUAUCAUAACGUAAUUAAACAAAAAACUGAAUAUUUUAUCUUUCCUACUCUCUCAAUAAUUUUGACUGCAUAAUUUUUCUGAAAAAAAAAAAAAAAAAAAAACUCAUAUCUAGAUUCAGUCACAAAGCCAAAUCUCUCUAAUCAUACCUCUAUAUUAAGAAACACAAAUAAGAGAUUCCAAGAACUUGUUAACACCCUUUUGGAAUGAUUGAUUCUAAGGGUGAAAAAAAAAAAAUUGGUAUUUAAUAGAAUUUUCGUAAUGACAAAAAGGAAAUGGACCCAAGUGAUAAAACAAUAUAAUUGAUGGACAAAAGAUCAUUUUUUAUUUGUGUUGCUGACACCGUAGUUUUGUUUACGCUUCCCGACCCAUAAUAUUCAAGUGCAGGUACUUUUGUCAUCCCAUAUAAAGUAAAUGAAGUUUACCAAGUCAAAAAGGUAGCUUUAAUCUUCAAGCAAUACAGCUGCAAAUUUCGAGUUUUCAAACUUUGAAUUUAUUUUUUUCUUUUUCAAACAUCCGGUACCUACCCUUGACAUAUUUUCCUCUCAAUUUUUUUUAUUCUUCCUCUGUUGUCUUCUUUCUUCAUUUUCCUAUGCCCGGCAUUGACAAAGCACACUUAAAUGUUAUCUAUAUACUGUAUAGACAUUGCUCUGAACUAAACUCUUCAUUCAGAGUCCCCGAGUCGGCUGCAAAGGAUUGGCCAUGAAUAAUCUUUCAACAGAAUCGACUGCUGCUGUAGCAAUUUCAGCCUUAGUGAUAUUCCUCUCAAUUUUCCUCUUGAUUUCAAGAAAUGGGCAAAAAAGGACACUCAAGAAUAAGCAAGCUCAACAAGCACCGGUAGCAGGGGGAGCAUGGCCUUUGAUAGGCCACCUACAUCUCUUACGAGGGCCAGAGCCAGCUCACAGAGUUUUGGGCAACCUGGCUGACAAAUAUGGAACAAUAUUCACUAUGAAGUUGGGGGUGAGACAAGCUUUAGUGGUGAGCAACUGGGAAAUUGCUAAGGAGUGUUUUACCACAAAUGACAAAGCUUUUGCAAGUCGCCCCAAAAGAAUGGCCGUAGAGCUUAUGGGGUACAACUUUUCGGUCAUAGGCUUCGCGCCAUAUGGCAAGUACUGGCGUCAGUCACGUAAGAUAGUGACAAUUGAGCUUCUGUCAAAUCGUCGCCUUGAGAAGCUCAAACACGUACGUGAAUCUGAAGUGAAGGCUUCAAUCCAUAGGUUAUACAAGAAUUGCAUAAGUAGCAGCAGUUCACGUAAAGUAGUUUCCGUGGAGAUGAUCCAUUGGAUCGAGGGCACAGUACUUGACAUUCUUUUGAGAAUAAUUGCCGGAAAACGUCACACUUCACAAUCAGAAGAGGCUAAUGAUUGGCAACAGCAAAUAACAAAGAUCGCUGCCUUGUUUGGUCAGUUCGUGGUGUCCGAUGCGUUGCCCUUUCUGAGACGGUUAGAUAUCGGUGGAUAUAAGAGAUUAAUGAGCAAGACAGCUAAAUAUUUUGACAUUAUUUUGCAAGAAUGGUUGGAUGAGCACAAGAUGAAAAGAGUUUCUGGUGAAGUUAAGGGUGACGAGGAUUUCAUAUAUGUGUUGUUGUCCCUACUUGAUGAUAAUGCAGAGCAGCUUCCUGAUCGCGAUGCUGACACUGUCGUUAAAGCAAUCUGCUUGGUAUAAUAUAUCCUCAUGAAAAGCUUGUGGUGUGUUUGUGUUGUAUUGUUAUACGAAUGUCACAGAUUUCUUACUGCUUUUAAUUUGCAGAGUCUAAUCGUAGCGGGUACACAGACCACAGUAGUUACAUUGACAUGGGCUAUUGCUUUACUUCUCAACAAUCCCGAGGUUCUGAAGAAGGCACAAGAUGAAAUAGACAUUCAGGUUGGUACUGAAAGGCCAGUGAAUGAAUCAGACACGAGAAAUUUGGUUUACUUGCAGGCCAUUAUCAAGGAAACAAUGCGUUUAUACCCUGCUGGACCACUUUUACUACCUCACGAGUGUAUAGAAGCAUGCAUCGUCAAUGGUUACCACGUCCCUGCAGGCACCCAACUGUUUGUUAACGCCUGGAAGAUUCAACGCGAUCCAUGUGUUUGGGAGGAGC
rnacentral:lncRNA from 1 species